CUCACAGGAUUACAAGGUGAAGUCCCAGAAUAGGCCAUCUACAAGCUGUGGAAAGAAGCCGGUAGCAUAGCUGAGUCCAAGUCCAAAAGCCUCAAAACCAGAAAGCCCACAGUGCAGCCUUCAGUCUGUGGCAGAAGGCUCCAGGAAGCUGCUGGUGCAAGUCCCAGAGUCCAAAUGCCGAAGAACCUGGAGUCUGAUGUCCAACAGCAGAGAAGAGGAAGCAAGCAUCUGGCACGGAAGAGGGAGAGGGCUGGAGAAGACUCAGCAAGGUGCUCAUCCCCCUUCUUCCACCUGUUGUUCUGGCCGUGCUGGCAGCUGAUUGGAUGGUACCCACCCACAUUGAGGGUAGGUCUUCCUUUCUCAGUCCACCGAGUCAUGUCACUCUCCUCUGGCAACACCCUUACAGACACCCAGAAAAAAUACCAGCCAUCUCGGCAUCCCUUAAUCUAGUGAAGUUGACACCUAACAUUAACCACUGCACCAACACCACCUGUGUGUGAGCUGGUGGUCUAAGGUGGGGAUGGGGUGCACAGAUCUGUCCCUGGUAGGGACGGUCAACAGGUGAGUGGCAACACCCUGGUGAGCAUAUUGAGCCUGGCUCUGGGGAGUGGGG
rnacentral:lncRNA from 1 species